AGCGGCCGGCAAACAGCGCGCCGUCAGUACCACGACGACGCCGAUGCCCACCGCAUCACCUUUCUAGAGAGCAUUACUUAGUUGAACCGAAAUUUCAAUAAGGAAAUCACAUUGCCCGUGCUUUGUUUGCAACGUGAUAGAUUCGUGAACAGUCUGUGUUUGGGGUGCGACGGCAGCCGGCAGCCGGCAACCAGUUAUGCAAUAGCUUGAAUAUGCCGAAUUGCCGCGGUUUGGAGCUCCGUUUUGAAGACGUCGCUUUCUAUUGCCUUAUUUUAAAUGCACCCGAAUAUUGACUGACUGGCCAUAGCAGAACACCGCAUGUCAUGAGUCCAGUGCAAACCCGAAGACACCGUGAAGAUUGAGACCAGAACAACACCUUGUUUCAACUCACUUUAGGCGAACACCCAUACUAAAAUUUUUGUCUGUUUAAUCUAAUACUUCUAUUACUUAAUUCUCUUCUCUUAAUUCUCGAGCCCAAGUAUUCGGCCGUUAAACAUUUGAUAAAUUUUCUUUGAAACCAUAAAUGAUAAAAAAGAGCACAGCAACUCAUAAUUAUCGCAUAAUCAUUAAUUUGUGUGAUGCGGCCAGGGGCACUAUGGGCAGAUGUAUAUUUGAACCAUAUUUGUCUAGGGAAGAUGGAAGGCGGCUAGUAGUUCCACUGCUUUGCUGUUUUAUACAAGAAUCUAAGAUUCAUAUUGUGCAGUGCGACAGCAGGGGAUGUUCAUAAGGAAUAGGCGAAACUCCAGAUGUACUAGUACUAAAUACAGACUGCCGAAACUACUGAAUCGAUCUUAACAUCGCUACGACAAUAUUAUUUAAGGCUUGGGUUAUUAGGAUACAUUAUUAUUAAACUUUUCUACGAGAUUUUCAGACAUUAUUUGGGUUGACCGCAUUGGCAGUGUGGUUAGCUGGUUGUUAAGUAACGAACAACAGCCACUAAUGGCACUGCCUCUGUGUCCUCCUUUUUUACAUCAGUCAACUGAACAAUGAAGCAGGAUUGGCGCCUCAAGCCUUCGUCAGCUUUUACCCAUCAAGAACCAGCAGCGAUGCAAUUUUCUAAUAAAUAUUACAUCUUUUAUAUUCUAUUUAUUGUAGUGUAUUUUGGAUAAUAUAUACACAUGUCUUUUGUUUUUGUAACAAUGUUAUAGAUGUCUUUGAAGUCAGGUGACAAUUAAAAAAAUAUAUAAUUUAAAUUUAUAUAGUAGAUAUAUGUAACUAACAAUUAAAAUUAAUAAAACGUAAUUAAUGUUGUACUUAGCACUUGCACUGCUAUUAACUGUGGUUAACUUUAACGUGAAAAUAAAAAAAAAUUGUUUAAACUCACAUUUACACAAUCAUCUAACUAUUUUGUAUUUGCAUAAAUGCCAUUAAAAUAGAUACACGCGAAUAGCGUCACAUGCAAUGCGUCAACUCUUGUCGCUAAUGCACUGAAAUAAAUGUAAUUACGUUCAGGUGCAUUUAUGGGAGAUGUGCCAACUCGUGGUACAAUACACGUGUAUUUAGAUCACUAUUAAUUAUGUAUCAGGGCUAUGCUGGGCCCUCCUCUAUACCUCAUUAUUUAAUAGGAGGCAAGCAAGCAAGAAUCUCCGAAGAAACCUGAUGGAUGUUAAGUGAUAUCGCCGCCCAUGGACACUCACAUUGCCAGAAGACUCGCAAGUGCGUUGCUGUUGCAUUUUUGUAUUCUGAUACGGACGUUAGUUAGCUUCUAUUCUUUAUCCCUAAAAACUUAUUGCAUAAGCUAUUAUUAGUAUAUGGUUGCGAGUUUAAACCUAUUAUGUAAAUAGAAAAAAUAAAUUUAAACAUAUUUAUUUUUAUAAAGUUGAUCGCUUGAACCAAAUUUAUAGCGACAUCUUAGCUUUUAAUAGCCACUUUUCCUUUUACGAGGCGUUCGUGCGAGCUCUUACUUUUAAAUGUUGCCACUUAUCAAACGUGACGCAAUUCUGUGAAGGUAAAACGUUAAAGUACAAUGACCUUAUUAAAAUGUGUAAUUAUUGUUUUGGUUUUUAACUCUUCUGUCUCUGAUCUUGUCUCUUGCCGGAUAGGUAACGGCAUACAGGAAAUGUUUAUAAAGCACAGACCGUGCCUGGAACGGUUCUGUGAAAAAAUCAUUGUAUUUAUAAAGACGGCAAACAAGACAGAAAGAGCGGGUCUCGCGAGGAAUUGCGCCCCGGCUCGCCUAUGAAUAUUGUUAAUAAAAAUAUUACCGAUGUAGUCGGGGUAUUUCCAAACGCGUACCUUCCAAUACACUAUUUCACAAAUAGUAGCAGUAAAAUAUAUUUUUUUGUUUGUUGAAAAAAAAAAAAAUUGUGAGAUAUAUAAAGUCUCUGGAGACGAUGGCAGGGGAGUAGAGUAAAAUAAAAAUAAUAACAGCUAUAUCAAACUGUUCAUUAAAUGUAAACAAUUAUUAAUUAUUGUCAUAAAUUAAGUAUAAAAAUAUCUUUCAGCUUGCUUAAAACAGUCAAUAUUUUUAUCAUCUUGAAAUGUAUUCGUUUAAAAAUUAGGUUUGAUACUUUGCCCUCAAAAUAUCGAUAUAUUUUUCCUUAUUGUAUUAGUCUUACUAAAUAUUAAGAUAAUUAAACCAAGUAAUGGAUAUUAAAUUUUACAUUAAUCGGUGAUGUAAUUAAGUUAAUACCAACUAUACUUUUAAAUAAAUGAAUUGAAUAUGUUACAUAAGUAUUGGAAAACUAGGGGAGUUGGAGUUGAAGGCCUGCUUAUUGCUGUUUUUUUAAUUAAAAUCGUGAAAAGGUUUUUAAUUUGAUUGUUCUUGACAUUUAUGAACUCGGAAUCCUGAUUGUUGAAUUUAAAAAUAUGUAAGUGUAUUGAAGAAAUCUGUGAAACAAAGGGUCUGCGUACUAAAAAUAAAUUAGAAAUGUACAUUAAAUGUUUAUUACUACACAUAAAUUACAUUCAGAU